GACGGACGCUGGCGGCGUGCCUAAUACAUGCAAGUCGAGCGGACCAUUCCUUCGGGAAUGGUUAGCGGCGGACGGGUGAGUAACACGUAGGCAACCUGCCUGUAAGACUGGGAUAACUACCGGAAACGGUAGCUAAGACCGGAUAACUGGUUUCUUCACCUGAAGAGAUCAUGAAACACGGAGCAAUCUGUGGCUUACAGAUGGGCCUGCGGCGCAUUAGCUAGUUGGUAGGGUAACGGCCUACCAAGGCGACGAUGCGUAGCCGACCUGAGAGGGUGAUCGGCCACACUGGGACUGAGACACGGCCCAGACUCCUACGGGAGGCAGCAGUAGGGAAUCUUCCGCAAUGGACGCAAGUCUGACGGAGCAACGCCGCGUGAGUGAUGAAGGUUUUCGGAUCGUAAAGCUCUGUUGCCAGGGAAGAAUGCCCAGGAGAGUAACUGCUCCUGGGGUGACGGUACCUGAGAAGAAAGCCCCGGCUAACUACGUGCCAGCCGCCGCGGUAACAC
rnacentral:rRNA from 1 species